UACAGAGGUCUCAAGCGUUGUUCGGAUUCAUUGGGCGUAAAGGGUGUGUAGGUGGCGCCGUAAGUCGGGUGUGAAAUUUCGGAGCUUAACUCCGAAACUGCAUUCGAUACUGCGGUGCUUGAGGACUGGAGAGGAGACUGGAAUUCAUGGUGUAGCAGUGGAAUGCGUAGAGAUCAUGAGGAAGACCAGUGGCGAAGGCGGGUCUCUGGACAGUUCCUGACACUGAGACACGAAGGCCAGGGGAGCAAACGGG
rnacentral:rRNA from 1 species